GUGCCAGCCGCCGCGGUAAUACGAAGGGGGCUAGCGUUGCUCGGAAUCACUGGGCGUAAAGGGUGCGUAGGCGGGUUUCUAAGUCAGAGGUGAAAGCCUGGAGCUCAACUCCAGAACUGCCUUUGAUACUGGAAGUCUUGAGUAUGGCAGAGGUGAGUGGAACUGCGAGUGUAGAGGUGAAAUUCGUAGAUAUUCGCAAGAACACCAGUGGCGAAGGCGGCUCACUGGGCCAUUACUGACGCUGAGGCACGAAAGCGUGGGGAGCAAACAGGAUUAGAAACCCCGGUAGUCCA
rnacentral:rRNA from 1 species